rnacentral:rRNA from 1 species
GCAAUAUUGUCUUAGUGGCGAACGGGUGAGUAACGCGUUGGUGACCUGCCUCGAAGAGAGGGAUAACAGUUCGAAAGGAUUGCUAAUACCUCAUGUGGUUGCUUGGGUUAGAGACCUUGCAACUAAACGGAUUUGUUCGCUUCGAGAGGGGCCUGCGUCCCAUCAGCUAGUUGGUAGGGUAAUGGCCUACCAAGGCGAUGACGGGUAGGGGACCUGAGAGGGUGGCCCCCCACAAUGGAACUGAAACACGGUCCAUACACCUACGGGUGGCAGCAGUAGGGAAUAUUGGUUAAUCUGGGAAACCGGGAACCAGCAACGCCGCGUGCGCGAUGAAGGCCUUCGGGUUGUAAAGCGCUUUAGAGAGGAUGAGGAAGGACAGUACUCUCUGAAUAAGCCUCGGCUAACUACGUGCCAGCAGCCGCGGUAAAACGUAGGAGGCGAGCGUUAUCCGGAUUUACUGGGCGUAAAGCGCGUGUAGGCGGUUUGAUAAGUUGGAUGUGAAAGCUCCUGGCUUAACUGGGAGAGGUCGUUCAAAACUGUCAGACUUGAGAGUGGUAGAGGGAGGUGGAAUUCCGGGUGUAGUGGUGAAAUGCGUAGAUAUCCGGAGGAACACCAGUGGCGAAAGCGGCCUCCUGGACCAUUUCUGACGCUCAGACGCGAAAGCUAGGGUAGCAAACGGGAUUAGAGACCCCGGUAGUCCUAGCUGUAAACGAUGUGAACUUGGCGUCGGUGGGUUCAAAUCCAUCGGUGCCGAAGCUAACGCGAUAAGUUCACCGC